rnacentral:misc_RNA from 1 species
GGUUUUAGAGUCAUUAUACAUUGGAAUGGCGUGUCCCAUUUUUCCUCGUGAAAUCAAAUAAGAGAUGCCAAAAUCGUUGAUUUUGCUGACAGAGUUAGCAUCAAGGAGGACUUUUGAUGGUUUCAAAUUUCCAUGUAUGAUACAAGGCUUGUUGGAAUGAAGGAAGAUAAGAGCAGAGCAUAUCUCAGUAGCUAUGCAUAUCCGAGUUUGCC